UAGCUAGUUGGUAGGGUAAGGGCCUACCAAGGCGACGAUCGGUAGCUGGUCUGAGAGGAUGACCAGCCACACUGGAACUAAGACACGGUCCAGACUCCUACGGGAGGCAGCAGUGGGGAAUAUUGGACAAUGGGGGCAACCCUGAUCCAGCAAUGCCGCGUGUGUGAAGAAGGCCUGAGGGUUGUAAAGCACUUUCAGUGGGGAGGAGGGAGUUUAGGUUAAGAGCUAGAACUUUGGACGUUACCCACAGAAGAAGCACCGGCUAACUCCGUGCCAGCAGCCGCGGUAAUACGGAGGGUGCGAGCGUUAAUCGGAAUUACUGGGCGUAAAGGGUGCGUAGGUGGUUGUAUAAGUUAUCUGUGAAAUCCCUGGGCUUAACCUGGGCAGGUCAGAUAAGACUGUAUAACUCGAGUAUGGGAGAGGGUAGUGGAAUUUCCGGUGUAGCGGUGAAAUGCGUAGAGAUCGGAAGGAACACCAGUGGCGAAGGCGGCUACCUGGCCUAAUACUGACACUGAGGCACGAAAGCGUGGGGAGCAAACAGGAUUAGAUACCCUGGUAGUCCACGCUGUAAACGAUGUCAACUAGCUGUUGGUUAUAUGAAAAUAAUUAGUGGCGC
rnacentral:rRNA from 1 species